rnacentral:tRNA from 1 species
AUUAUUUUGGCAGAUAAGUGUAUUAAAUUUAGAAUUUAAAAAUAAAUGUAAUAUUUAAAUAAUA